rnacentral:rRNA from 1 species
UACGUAGGGUGCAAGCGUUGUCCGGAAUUAUUGGGCGUAAAGAGCUCGUAGGCGGUCUGUUGCGUCGGCUGUGAAAACCCGAGGCUCAACCUCGGGCCUGCAGCCGAUACGGGCAGACUAGAGUUCGGCAGGGGAGACUGGAAUUCCUGGUGUAGCGGUGAAAUGCGCAGAUAUCAGGAGGAACACCGGUGGCGAAGGCGGGUCUCUGGAACGGUACUGACGCUGAGACGCGAAAGCGUGGGGAGCGAACAGG